UGUUUGAUCUCAAAUCAGGUAGGACUACCCGCUGAACUUAAGCAUAUCAAUAAGGCGGAGGAA
rnacentral:rRNA from 1 species